rnacentral:rRNA from 1 species
GAGAGUUUGAUCCUGGCUCAGGACGAACGCUGGCGGCGUGCCUAACACAUGCAAGUCGAACGGAGUUGAAAGGAGCUUGCUUUUUUCAACUUAGUGGCGGACGGGUGAGUAACGCGUGAGUAACCUGCCUUUCAGAGGGGGAUAACGUUCUGAAAAGAACGCUAAUACCGCAUAAGAUUGUAGUUUCGCAUGGGACAGCAAUCAAAGGAGCAAUCCGCUGAAAGAUGGACUCGCGUCCGAUUAGAUAGUUGGCGGGGUAACGGCCCACCAAGUCGACGAUCGGUAGCCGGACUGAGAGGUUGAUCGGCCACAUUGGGACUGAGACACGGCCCAGACUCCUACGGGAGGCAGCAGUGAGGGAUAUUGGGCAAUGGGGGAAACCCUGACCCAGCAACGCCGCGUGAGGGAUGACGGUUUUCGGAUUGUAAACCUCUGUCCUCUGUGAAGAUAGUGACGGUAGCAGAGGAGAAGCUCCGGCUAACUA